UACGUAGGGUGCGAGCGUUAAUCGGAAUUACUGGGCGUAAAGCGUGCGCAGGCGGUUAUGGAAGACAGUUGUGAAAUCCCCGGGCUCAACCUGGGAAUUGCAUCUGUGACUGCAUAGCUAGAGUACGGUAGAGGGGGAUGGAAUUCCGCGUGUAGCAGUGAAAUGCGUAGAUAUGCGGAGGAACACCGAUGGCGAAGGCAAUCCCCUGGACCUGUACUGACGCUCAUGCACGAAAGCGUGGGGAGCAAACAGG
rnacentral:rRNA from 1 species